CGGACGGGUGAGUAACGCGUGGGUAACCUGCCUUAUACAGGGGGAUAACAGCCAGAAAUGGCUGCUAAUACCGCAUAAGCGCACAGAGCUGCAUGGCUCGGUGUGAAAAACUCCGGUGGUAUAAGAUGGACCCGCGUUGGAUUAGCUUGUUGGUGGGGUAACGGCCCACCAAGGCGACGAUCCAUAGCCGGCCUGAGAGGGUGAACGGCCACAUUGGGACUGAGACACGGCCCAGACUCCUACGGGAGGCAGCAUG
rnacentral:rRNA from 1 species